AAUAGGCCCUCCAGGGCUGACUGCCUGCAUAUACCAAGGCAGUUGCUAUGGAGCGCAGCACAGAAAAAUGCUUAACACUAAAGAAAGUCACACUAUAACACAAACUAUCCGAUCGAGGCAGCGGUAGAGCAGCAACUCGUGUUCUGCGCUGUCAAAUGACUGCUUUUGAAUGAAUGCUUUUGUAAAAACAGCUUCAGUUCCUCAUCGUAAAGGGCUGUCUGACAGCAAGGUAAAGCCUUGAAAAUAUUCUAAAUAUAGCGGGGAUACUUGUGUAUGGGCAGUUUGCCUCCGUGGCACCAGCUAUCAGUUUAUUAGUCCCAGAAAAAAAAUUCUGGCUUUUGUAUAUGAAGUAAUAAAUAAUUACUAUGAUUUAAAGCUUUAGAUGAUAAAAUAAAAAAGUGCAAAUUAUAUCUUACAGUACUAAAGAACAUGCAUAUUUGCACUAGUCGCUUGUGCCCACCCAACAUUUUUUACUGCGUCCGCCAUUUAAAGCUGACCAGAACCGGGCCUGAAUGGAACACCACUCAGUUCUAAAUUCCUAAAUGUAAACUACAAAACCAUCUACCCUAAAAUUAAGGAUAUUAAAAGUGUAUACAAAUAUUUUUCUUUUGGAUGCAAUUAUAAUUUGGUGAAACACAACUCAACAAUACCAUGCAAUACAAUGAUACCAUGCCCAUACUAAAUCAAAGAGGUGAGGGAGGAAUACACAUUUCCUGACUUUUUUGGUCCCCAAUUUACCUAUGCCUGUCACGAGGAUUCAGCUGCUGACCUCAAACACACUUUUCCUGACUUUUUCGGUCCCCACCUCGACCUUGCCCAUCCCCCACCCACACGAGAGCUGCUGACAGUGAGUGGGCGGAGCAUGUGCAGGUGCAGUUAGAAGCAAGCAGGAGCACAAGCUGGCAGCAGCACAGACAGAAGGUGCUCCUACAGACACUAAUGGACGAGGAACACAUGGAAACUAACGUUGGGUAAAGUGCAGGAUACACCAGGCUGAAGGAACGCUUACAACGCCUGAGGGAGCUUCAUAAUACAUCUUUAUCCGGGAACAUGGAAUCCGUAAAACACCAAAGCCAGGAAGUAAGCCUAGAUUCUGAGAGUUCACAUGAUGAGGUUGGUGAUGACCCAAAUGUACCACCCCUGAGGAGAACUGACAGCGUAUCUGUAAGUUUGCAUAAUUAAAACAAGCUGGGCACCUAACUUUUACAAAAGAAAAUAAACAGACAGGAUAAUUCUUUGGGGAAGGUUGGCAGGUUGGCAGUGAAUCCUGAGCGUAAGUUCCCAUAUGAACAGACUAUGCUGA